GCUCCAGUGGCUCAAUCGGUUAACGCUUGGUACUUAUAAUGCCAAGGUUGUGAGUUCGACCCUCACCUGGAGUA
rnacentral:tRNA from 1 species